UACGUAGGGUGCAAGCGUUAAUCGGAAUUACUGGGCGUAAAGCGUGCGCAGGCGGUUUUGUAAGUCUGUCGUGAAAGCCCCGGGCUCAACCUGGGAAUUGCGAUGGAGACUGCAAGGCUUGAAUCUGGCAGAGGGGGGUAGAAUUCCACGUGUAGCAGUGAAAUGCGUAGAGAUGUGGAGGAACACCGAUGGCGAAGGCAGCCUUCUGGGCCAACACUGACGCUCAUGCACGAAAGCGUGGGGAGCAAACAGG
rnacentral:rRNA from 1 species